rnacentral:rRNA from 1 species
UACGAAGGGGGCUAGCGUUGUUCGGAUUUACUGGGAGUAAAGCGCACGUAGGCGGAUCGAUCAGUCAGGGGUGAAAUCCCAGAGCUCAACUCUGGAACUGCCUUUGAUACUGUCGAUCUGGAGUAUGGAAGAGGUGAGUGGAAUUCCGAGUGUAGAGGUGAAAUUCGUAGAUAUUCGGAGGAACACCAGUGGCGAAGGCGGCUCACUGGUCCAUUACUGACGCUGAGGUGCGAAAGCGUGGGGAGCAAACAGG